CCUACGGGAGGCAGCAGUAAGGAAUCUUCCACAAUGGACGAAAGUCUGAUGGAGCAACGCCGCGUGCAGGAUGAAGGCUUUCGGGUCGUAAACUGCUUUUAUAUGGGAAGAUUAUGACGGUACCAUAUGAAUAAGGACCGGCUAACUACGUGCCAGCAGCCGCGGUAAUACGUAGGGUCCAAGCGAUAUCCGGAAUUACUGGGCGUAAAGCGUGUGUAGGUGGAUUAAUAAGUGUGAUGCGAAAUCCGGCGGCUCAACCGUUUGGACUGUGUCGCAUACUGUUAGUCUAGAGGACGGCAGAGGUAAGUGGAAUUACGGGUGUAGCAGUGAAAUGCGUAGAUAUCCGUAGGAACACCAAUGGCGAAGGCAGCUUACUGGGCCACACCUGACACUGAGACACGAAAGCGUGGGGAGCGAACAGGAUUAGAUACCCUGGUAGUCCACGCCGUAAACGAUGCAUACUAUUAGUAUGGGGUAUCGACCCCCUGUGCUGAGAAGCUAACGCGAUAAGUAUGCCGCCUGGGGAGUACGAGCGCAAGCUUAAAACUCAAAGGAAUUGAGGCGNGAGAGNGCGAGACGACGACGAGGAGAGG
rnacentral:rRNA from 1 species